rnacentral:lncRNA from 1 species
UGCAGGGAUGAAAUGUGCCCCCUCUCUCUCAUUCAGGACAUGCUGGAGAGCUGGUGGCCUGGCAGGCAGAGAGGAAGGCGAGAGGACCAAGAGAGAGCAAGUAAUCCAGUCACUGUGAGAUCUGGCUGAACGUCUUUCUCUUGCUGGACACCCCGACUGAGCUACCUUUACAUAAGAUUGCCUGAAUGAGUUAAACACAAAACAGGAAGUAUG